AUUAAUUUUUGACAAUGUUAGCAAUUCAGUGAAGUCGUGAAGGUCUCAUUUAAUGCCCGAACUUAUUAGCACAUGGAAAUAGUAGCUAGUAGUUGUCUUAUAAAUCCCGGCGGAGGGCAAAUCUUGAUGAAGAACAAUGUUGAUGGGUUUAAGAAGAUCGAAUGGUACAUGAGGAGGAAGGUGGUAUGUAAAAGUGCGCAAAGACGCCGGUCUAGUCAGGUUUUCUGGUAAGUUUGAUUUGAUUGUGCAAUAGUGGAGUAUAUGCGGAUAUAGUUUGAAGAGUGCAAUUGUGCAAAAAAUUAAUUGAGAUUGCAAUAGCUGAGUUAUAGCUCGAUUUUGUUAGAAAAGUGCAAAAUUGCAGAAGUCAAUGGUGUCGUUAUAUAAAUGAUUUAGCUAAUUUGAUUAUAAGAUGCGCGUUAAUAUGAAUAUACAGUGUAGAUAGUUCAUAAUAUUUUUUAACACUUUGUCUGCCAUAAAGCCAGAUGUUAUUUUGCGGUCAUCUUUUGAAAAAUAAUAUGAAUUUGUGGAAAGGAAAUCAGUAAAGCAUUUUCUGGGAGAGACUAAAUAUCAACGGGCAGAUAUAUAUACUAGCGACUAUUCGUAGUCGAUGAUAAUGGGGAUUGUCAAUGGAAGUAAGUCUUAUCUAAAGUGAAUCAAAUUGAUAUAUUCCAUUUUCGUGGAUGCCCCUGUGUGCUUCUAAUUAGGUGAUUACCUGAUUGCAAUAUUUACUGCUAGAGUCUUAUCUAGAGUGAAUCAAAUUUUAAGUUGGUUGUUUACUGUAAAACAUUAUAGGGUCUGAAGGUUUAAAUCAUGGCUUUGAAUAUGGAAAAUUUCCUUUAUUUUUUUUAUCAAUAUCAUAUUUACCAACAAAUAUGUUAGUUGAAUGUGAAGGACCAAGUCUGCAAAUCAGGCAUUACUUAUAAAUUAAGUUUAGACAUGUCAGUAUUAAAUAUUUAGUGAGCUUUAAGAAGAAGAGGUUGUGUUAAUCAAUUAGGAAUUAGGAACAUAUAUAUACUGGGGGUUGGGUACUUGGGUUUCCUGUAAUGAAUUUGGAACUCUUGAUUUGUUUGUUGAAUGUUAUUCUCUUAAAAUUCUGUCAUUCAUAUUGCGGUAGAAUCAAAAAUUCAGUUCUGAUGUUUAUAAAAGGCUGUGAUUCACUUUAUGUACUGAAAUUAACAAGUAGUUGGUUACAAAUGAAGAAUCGGAUGAAGUAGGAGUGCAAGAUAAGGGUAGUGGGGUUCGGGGCUGUAGUAGUUUGUAGCAGGAGGAUCGAAUGAUUGGGUGUCAAGAGAACUGCUAUGUGUUGGUUCCUUAUGUCGAUGGGGAGAACCCAAUGUAGACAAUGAUGAGGGGAUGCAGUACGUAUCCCCAAUAAAAACGGUUGAGACAGUACAAAUAGUAGUAGCUAAUAAUCAUGUUAGUGUAGUUAGUUACGUGGAAGCACCAAAGGUUGGGAUGAUAUUUAAGAAAUGGGAAGAGGUCGAAGCUUAUUAUAAGUAGUAUGCAAAGCAAAAUUGAUUUGAAGUGAAUAGGGUGCAGGGUUUGUAUUCCAAGGGUGAGGGGAGGGACUGAAUAUCUAAGACAUGGAGGUGUGAGUGUUAUGGGAGACCCGAUAUGAGGGCACAACGAGAAGCCAAAAAGAGGGCAAAAGUGAUGGAUGUGAGUGGUUCAGGUGGAGUCAUAGGUGGAGUGGUGGGAGUGGAUGAGUUGAGUCGUAGUAAAUGAAGGUCGAAGAAAUGUGAGUGUGAAGCUAAUAUUUAUGCUAGUGUAAAUCGGGAAGGUCAAUGGGUACACACUUAUUCCUGGCGAUGCUCAUCUUGUGAUAGAGUAUCGAAUGAAACACUUUACUUCAAGAGUAAGGAAGAAGCUACUUCAUUAUUUUGAGGAAGGGGUAACUGUGAAGCAAAUUCAUGGGUGCAUAGGCACAGAGAUGGUUGGCUCUAAACCUCUGCCGUACACAAUUAAGGAUCUCGAGCAUGAGGUAUACAAAUGUAGGAGGCUGAAAAUGGAGAGAGGCGACUCCGUUGCUAUGAUGGAAUUUUUUCAACAAAUGCAAGCCGGGAAUCAGAAUUUUAAUUAUGCACAACGGUUGGAUGGCGAAGGAAGGUUGAAGGAUGUUUUGUGGGUUGAUGCUCGUAGUCGGGCUGCUUAUGAGGAGUUUGGUGAUGUCGUAUGUUUUGAUGCAACGUAUUUGACAAACGAGUAUGAUCUUCAGUUUGACAACUUUGUAGGCGUUAAUCACCAUGGUCAAUCAAUUUUGCUCGGGUGUGCUCUAGUAUCUCACGAAGAUUGUGAUACUUUACGGUGGGUGUUUAAGCAAUGGUUAUAAUGUAUGAAUGAAAAAACUCCCAAAGCAAUACUCACUGAUUAGGCAGCUGCCUUGAGGAGGUGAUGCCAACAACGAGACACGGCUGGUGCAUAUGGCACAAAAUGAGAAAGCUUUCGGAAAAUCUUAAGAAAUGUGCUAGUGAUGCAGGUAUCAAGAAUUCAAAAGCGAGCUAAAGUGUGUGGUAUAUGAAAGUUUUACCAUCCUGGAAUUCGAGAAUAGAUGGAAUGAAUUUGUUGUUAACUAUAAACUAGAAAACAAUUAUUGGCUUCAAAUUUUAUUCAAAGAACGGCAUAUAUGGGUACCGGCUUUCAUGAGAGACUUUUUCUGGGCAGGUAUGAAGACGACUCAACAAGUUGAUCGAGAAUAUAAACAACUUUUUCGAUGGAUUUUUGAAUAGAAAAACAAAGGUUUUUGAGUUCCCACAAAAGUAUGAAAAGGUAGGGGAGAAGCGAGUAGAUGAUGAGAUUGAUGCUGAUGCAAAAUGUGGGAAGUAGAGCAGAAGACUGGUCAGUGGUUUUUCGAUGGAAAAGUUAUUCCAAAAAAUAUAUACAGACACUAAGUUUCAAGAAGUCCAAACAGAAUGCUGUAGAUUGAUGUAAUGCUACCCCUGUGAAAAGAUAACAGUCUCAGAUAACCUAGUUCAGUAUCUUAUAGAAGAUCAUGUAUGGAUUGUUCUAUAGGGAAAGAAUGAGGUUGUUCUCACAUAUAGGAGGAGGUUUUAUUCAGCAACGUUCCACGCCGAAAUAAAAGUUGUUUGCUAUGCCGUAAUUUGAGACUGAUGGGAUAUUUUGUAGGAACAUCAUUCGUAUUCUUGAUCUAAACUUUCCUGUUUGUUGAUAGAAGAAGGGUAGCCAAAAAGGCGAAGUCUGGUACUGGAUCAUCGGUGUUUAUAUUUAUAUAAGAGUCAGACUCAAUAUCAAAAGAACCGAAUAAAGUUUCAUCCUACAGGGAGUGGGCCUCGGCUUACGAAAGUGGUUGCUAUGGUAGCAAGUUUGACAACAGACAUCGCUUUUCUGCUUUUUGAAUGGGUAUCCCUGAAAGGAAGGCCCGAAGAAAAGGGAUCCGGAAAGUCCAAUCCAAUGACGGUGUUGGAAAGCAAGUCAGAAUAGGCUCUCGCUUGAGCAGGACAAAGGCUAUAGAAGGUGUUCGGAGUUGGCUUAACGAAUUGUGAUAGAAUCCGAUUUGAAAGUCAAGUCGUCAAGAUUCCACAACAAUAUAUAUCCUUUAUCGUUGGUGAAAAGACAUGUUAAGGAAACACAUAGGAGUUACGGUUUCCAACCAUGAUCCAACCAAGACUGGGGUGUGGAAAAGGUAUAACACGACGAUGACUGCAUUUGAGCCAAUCUGCGAGGAGGCAGCAAUGGUGGAAGAUGAGACAUUGAGUACGGUGCUGACAAGUCUGGAACAACUACACUCCGUCGUAAGCCGAUGCACUAAGCACAAGUUGGACUAAACCGUCUCUAUAACCUUCCCGGAAGAUGGUGCUGCCAUUGCGCAACACACCUGCUCGAAUGAGAAUGGGAAAAACUCUACGGUGCAAAACCCAUAUGUUGAUCAAGUAACCUCAAUACUAUGCCUAGUGUUGAAGAGGGAAAUGAUAUUCACUGCUCACCUAAAGACCCAGUGCCUAAGAAGAGGGGAAGAGGAGGGCUGAAAGGAUUGCGUAACAAGGGAUUUGCUGAGAUUGGGUAUAAAAGGGCAAAUAAGAACAAGGAAAAGGUACCACAAUCUGGAGAUGUGGCCAAAGGUGCUAAUGAAAGCAUCCCAACUAACAAACCAAAGAAGAUGCCAUUCAGGCGCAAAGCUGCUACGCAAUCCAUACCAGAUUCUACCCAAGUCGAGUUCGUUGUAGAGGAUGCUAGUCUUGUCGCAGGCACCUCCACUUGUAUUUCGCCCAUGUUCUAAUUUCAAUGUGGAUCAUUUGUUUAUGUAUUGCCAGUGCCACUGUUUCAGUUGUUUUAUAUCGAGCUAAUGUUUAGACUCUAAUCUAUGUUCGUUUUAGUUUGAUGUGAUAAGAUGACAUUAUGUAUUUUGCGACUUUGUGUCUAGUUAUCAGAGGGCAUGAACUUAAGUGGUCACUUGUAUGUUAGGCAAGCGAUGGGCGUCGUGGCUUUUGUUUUAGCUAGUUUAAGUACCAGUAUGCUUUAUUCAUCAUUGUAAUGUUCAACAAAGUAUCUUCAAUACCCCAUAGGUAUGUGUUUAUCUCUGUGCUUCAAAUAGUUUUACCAAGUAGCUUACAAUUCACCAAACAUAAAGUACUCGAACACCCCUGCUCACUUUGGGCCCAAUCUUCAGUUGGACACUUUGGGCCCAUUCCUAAAUAAGCAUCUUCCUAGCCUAGUAUUGUAGGGAGUAUAUGAGAAUAAUGAAAGUUUCAUGAACGUGUAACUCUAAUGUCUACUCUACAUGGUUAGUAUAGAAAAUAUUGCUUUCUAAGAAGGAAUUAGGAAUAUACAACAGACACCAAGUAUGUUACUCGGGUCCAAGUUAGAUUACCUCCUUCCCAACUCCCAUCCCCUAUAAAACAUUAUGGGUAAUCAUUUAACAAUCAA